GGACUCUUAGCUCAGUUGGUUAGAGCGCCUCGUUUACAUCGAGGAGGUCGCAGGUUCGAUUCCUGCAGGGUCCACAA
rnacentral:tRNA from 1 species